GGAAACGGGAUCAGUUAAUUGAGACAAAGGACAUAACAACUGGUAGGACAAAGCCUGGAACUUUGGGGGCCCACAUGGAGAAACACUGGGAAAAAAAGGCAGCGAAGGAGAAGGAUGGUGUCAAUGAAAAACAAAAGCAAAGGACAGAGGAUAAACCUUUUAAAAAGUGGUCAAGUGUCAAUUAUCAAAUGCGGGAAAGACGGAGCUGAGUAAUCAAGAGCCCUCAGGACCAGGAAGACACACAUCACCUGCUCUGGGUUUGGUAAUGAAGGCGUUAUCAGUCAUGGCUGGAGUGGGGCAGACUCUACGGGAGAGUGGAGGCCCACUCACAAAGCACCAACAGCCAGUGAAAGCAGAGUCCUGGGAAGCACGUCUAAGACAAGCUUGGAGCCAAGCAGCUUCUAUGAAGAGCGAUUGAUAAACAGGAAGGAAAACAAACACUCUGCUGUGACUUACUCCCACUCUGCUCAUUGGUUUUCUUCCUUCUACAAACAAAAGUUUGUUCAUAGAUGCCCAACUAUUGCUGCAGCUGAUCUGUUUUCCUGGGUUUCAGUUCCCCUUCAUUAUCUGUAAUUGCUUGGGGACUUCAAGUCAAAAAAGCCUAAUAUUUAAUGUCUCAA